rfam:Triticum aestivum genome assembly, contig: Triticum_aestivum_CS42_TGACv1_scaffold_221687_3B
CCGGUACUCCCUCCGUUCGGAAUUACUCGUCCAAGAAAUGAAUGUAUCUAGAUGUAUUUUAGUUGUAGAUACACCCAUCUUUGUGACAAGUAUUUCCGAACGGAGGGAGUAUAUC